rnacentral:lncRNA from 1 species
UAACUCAUUUCUUUCAGAUAGUUUCACUUGCCUCUCCAUUCCUGUCCCAGGAUGGGGAUUCCAGGACUGGAAGGAAGGGAAGCAAGUGGGUCCUGAGAUCAGAUCGGGAGAGUUAAUGAGGCUGCUCUGCACUUGGCAGAGUGGUUGGAUGCUACUACAGAGGGGGAGAAUCUCCCCGCACCCUGCUUUAUGCCUUAUAUAAGUUGGAAACAUCAAGAUCUGAGGCUUCUGUGGCUUCCUGGACAGGAUCAAAACUUGGACAGGCAAGUCUACCAGAGAUGGUAAGCAGGGUGUGGUGGCUCAUGCCUGUAAUCUCAGCACUCGGGAGGCUGAGGCAGGAGGAUCGCUGUGAGUUCGAGACCAGCCAUUGCUACCUGUUGAGUUCCAGGUCAGUGUCAACUACAUAAUGAGACCCUGCCUCAAAAAAAUAGAGAUGGUAA